rnacentral:rRNA from 1 species
GCAUAUCCAAUAAGCUGAGGAAAAGAAACCAACUGGGAUUACCUUAGUAACGGCGAGUGAAGCGGUAAAAGCUCAAAUUUGAAAUCUGGUACUUUCAGUGCCCGAGUUGUAAUUUGUAGAAUUUGUCUUUGAUUAGGUCCUUGUCUAUGUUCCUUGGAACAGGACGUCAUAGAGGGUGAGAAUCCCGUUUGGCGAGGAUACCUUUUCUCUGUAAGACUUUUUCGAAGAGUCGAGUUGUUUGGGAAUGCAGCUCAAAGUGGGUGGUAAAUUCCAUCUAAAGCUAAAUAUUGGCGAGAGACCGAUAGCGAACAAGUACAGUGAUGGAAAGAUGAAAAGAACUUUGAAAAGAGAGUGAAAAAGUACGUGAAAUUGUUGAAAGGGAAGGGCAUUUGAUCAGACAUGGUGUUUUUUGCAUGCACUCGCCUCUCGUGGGCUUGGGCCUCUCAAAAAUUUCACUGGGCCAACAUCAAUUCUGGCAGCAGGAUAAAUCAUUAAGAAUGUAGCUACUUCGGUAGUGUUAUAGCUUUUUGGAAUACUGUUAGCCGGGAUUGAGGACUGCGCUUCGGCAAGGAUGUUGGCAUAAUGGUUAAAUGCCGCCCGUCUU